rnacentral:rRNA from 1 species
UUUUUCCUACGGGGGGCAGCAGUAGGGAAUUUUCGUCAAUGGGCGCAAGCCUGAACGAGCAAUGCCGCGUGAACGAGGAAGGUUUUCGGAUCGUAAAGUUCUGUUGAAGGGGAAAAAGAGCGGAGAGAGGAAAUGGUCUCCGAUUGAUAUUACCCUCCGAGGAAGUCACGGCUAACUACGUGCCAGCAGCCGCGGUAAUACGUAGGUGGCGAGCGUUAUCCGGAUUGAUUGGGCGUAAAGGGUGCGUAGGCAGCCUGCUAAGUCUGG